CCUACUCUUUUCUCUAUGCAUCAAUCAUCGGUUUGGGUGCAGCACGCAAAUGGUGAAAACGCAUGGAUCGGUAUCGAUGGGAACUCGGGUGUGAUAGCUGAUAUGAAAGAGUGCAAGGUAGGUGUUAAAACCCAUACCAUUGGUGAUAUUUUCACAACAUGAAACCGAGAUAACUCAAGAGUGCGACUCUAACCUUUGUAAACAUUGCAGAUAUGGGAUUCUUACAAUGUGAAGGCGCAAACAUUCAAGACAGCAAUAGAAGCUGCGUGUAUGCUUCUGAGGAUCGACGAUAUAGUGAGUGGUAUCAAGA
rnacentral:lncRNA from 1 species